UACGUAGGGUGCGAGCGUUAAUCGGAAUUACUGGGCGUAAAGCGUGCGCAGGCGGUUUUUUAAGCCUGAUGUGAAAUCCCCGGGCUUAACCUGGGAAUGGCAUUUGGGACUGCAAGGCUCGAGUGCGGCAGAGGAGACUGGAAUUCCUGGUGUAGCAGUGAAAUGCGUAGAUAUCAGGAGGAACACCGAUGGCGAAGGCAGGUCUCUGGGCUGACACUGACGCUCAUGCACGAAAGCGUGGGGAGCAAACAGG
rnacentral:rRNA from 1 species